rnacentral:rRNA from 1 species
AUUGAACGCUGGCGGCAUGCCUUACACAUGCAAGUCGAACGGUAACAGGUCUUCGGAUGCUGACGAGUGGCGAACGGGUGAGUAAUACAUCGGAACGUGCCUAGUAGUGGGGGAUAACUACUCGAAAGAGUGGCUAAUACCGCAUGAGAUCUACGGAUGAAAGCAGGGGAUCGCAAGACCUUGUGCUAUUAGAGCGGCCGAUGGCAGAUUAGGUAGUUGGUGGGAUAAAAGCUUACAAAGCCGACGAUCUGUAGCUGGUCUGAGCGGACGAUCAGCAACACUGGGACUGAGACACGGCCCAGACUCCGACGGGAGGCAGCGGUGGGGAAGUUUGGACAAUGGGCGCAAGCCUGAUCCAGCAAUGCCGCGUGCAGGAUGAAGGCCUUCGGGUUGUAAACUGCUUUUGUACGGAACGAAAAGCCCUGGGUUAAUACCCUGGGGUCAUGACGGUACCGUAAAAAUAAGCACCGGCUAACUACGUGCCAGCAGCCGCGGUAAUAC